GAACGGGUGAGUAACACGUGAGUAACCUGCCCUCCUCUUCGGGAUAACCGCCGGAAACGGUGGCUAAUACCGGAUAUGAAUGCCUGCCGCGUGGUGGGUGUUGGAAAGAUUUAUCGGUGGGGGAUGGGCUCGCGGCCUAUCAGUUUGUUGGUGAGGUAAUGGCUCACCAAGGCGAUGACGGGUAGCCGGCCUGAGAGGGCGACCGGCCACACUGGGACUGAGACACGGCCCAGACUCCUACGGGAGGCAGCAGUGGGGAAUAUUGCACAAUGGGCGAAAGCCUGAUGCAGCGACGCCGCGUGGGGGAUGACGGCCUUCGGGUUGUAAACCUCUUUCAGUAGGGAAGAAGCGAGAGUGACGGUACCUGCAGAAGAAGCGCCGGCUAACUACGUGCCAGCAGCCGCGGUAAUACGUAGGGCGCAAGCGUUGUCCGGAAUUAUUGGGCGUAAAG
rnacentral:rRNA from 1 species